GAUGAAGAACGCAGCGAAAUGCGAUACUUGGUGUGAAUUGCAGAAUCCCGUGAACCAUCGAGUCUUUGAACGCAAGUUGCGCCCGAAGCCAUUUGGUUGAGGGCACGUCUGCCUGGGCGUCACAUAUCGUUGCCCGAUGCCUAUUGCACGGUGAUAGGAAAUUCUAGGGCGAAAGAUGGCUUCCCGUGAGCGUUGUUGCCUCGCGGUUGGUUGAAAAUUGAGUCCUUGGUAGGGUGUGCCAUGAUAGAUGGUGGUCGAGUUUGCACGAGACCGAUCAUGUGUGCGCUCCCCAAAAUAUGGACUCUUUGACCCCACACGCGUCUUUUGACGCUCAUGACGAGACCUCAGGUCAGGCGGGGCUACCCGCUGAGUUUAAGCAUAUCAAUAAGCGGAGGA
rnacentral:misc_RNA from 1 species